rnacentral:rRNA from 1 species
UACGUAGGGGGCAAGCGUUGUCCGGAAUCAUUGGGCGUAAAGCGCGUGUAGGCGGCUCGGUAAGUCCGCUCUGAAAGUCCAGGGCUCAACCCUGGGAUGCGGGUGGAUACUGCCGAGCUCGAGUCCGGAAGAGGCGAGUGGAAUUCCUGGUGUAGCGGUGAAAUGCGCAGAUAUCAGGAGGAACACCAAUGGCGAAGGCAGCUCGCUGGGACGUGACUGACGCUGAGACACGAAAGCGUGGGGAGCAAACAGG